rnacentral:tRNA from 1 species
UCUAAUAUGGCAGAUUAGUGCAUUGGAUUUAAACCCCACAUAUAAAGAUAUAGCCUUUUUUUAGAA